rnacentral:rRNA from 1 species
UACGGGGGGGGCAAGCGUUGUCCGGAAUUAUUGGGCGUAAAGAGCGUGUAGGCGGUCCGGUAAGUCAGCUGUGAAAGUCAAGGGCUCAACCCUUGAAUGCCGGUUGAUACUGUCGGGCUAGAGUCCGGAAGAGGCGAGUGGAAUUCCCGGUGUAGCGGUGAAAUGCGCAGAUAUCGGGAGGAACACCAAUGGCGAAGGCAGCUCGCUGGGACGGUACUGACGCCGAGACGCGAAAGCGUGGGGAGCAAACAGG